rnacentral:rRNA from 1 species
CGGGCGGACGGGUGAGUAAUGUAUGGGGAUCUGCCUGAUGGAGGGGGAUAACUACUGGAAACGGUAGCUAAUACCGCAUAACGUCGCAAGACCAAAGAGGGGGACCUUCGGGCCUCUUGCCAUCGGAUGAACCCAUAUGGGAUUAGCUAGUAGGUAAGGUAACGGCUUACCUAGGCGACGAUCCCUAGCUGGUCUGAGAGGAUGAUCAGCCACACUGGGACUGAGACACGGCCCAG